GAAGAGAAUAAAAAACACAAGAUGUAGCAAGAAGCCCAGAAACAUAUCUGUCAUCAACAACCCAAUAUACAAAUAAUAUAUAUAUAUACAUAUAUAUAAGCUGUACAGCAAUUGAAGCCUGCCUGAGCUACCAGUGGCUCAGUGUACCUAAAAGUGAGGUACAUUUGCCCACAGCUUCAUCUUUCACACAACGUGGCCAGGUAUUUUCUUCAGCAAUCUUGAGCACAGCUCUACUGAGACAGCAAGGUAAACAACUAAUGCUGACAUACAGCUGACCUCGAGAGGUUAAUUCAUUUACAAAUUAUUUUACAUUUUGUUCUGUGCCAUUAUGUAUGAAGUACUGAUCCAGCAGAUAAAAGCACUUAAAUCCUGGUGAACUGCACAGCUCGAACACCAGAACAAGACAGAUCUUCAUCCUCUUACCUAGUAGCUCUCCUUAGCACAAGGGAGUUAACCUUUUCAACUACACUUGCUAACCAAUGUGGAGUUCACAAUAUUGACUCUCGUGGUUGACAGAAGUCCCUAGUCUUUUAACACACUAAAAGUUCACCUCUAACUGUCGUCGCUGGGACUGUUUUACCCCCACCAUUGCCACACUUGCCUCUGCUCUGAUGAGUCUGUAUCAUUCAGCUUCAGUGGCUUUUAAAGCCUGUCUUUAUAGACUGAGUUUCUUUAUAGAGAGGUAGUUUCUCCUGAAUACCCAGCAUGUUACCUGCAGUGGUUUAGCAGUGCUCAGCUGCUGGUGCUUCUGGCAAGACUUCUGUACUAAACCGGGUGUAACAAAGUUUUUAAAAGCUUGCUCACUUACUAUGAGAAUGGCUACAAAGCAGGCCAGUGUAGUAUUCCAGUCUCCACUAGCUGUGGCAGCUGCUUUCCCAACAAGCACACUGUAAAAUAUGAAGUCUCCAAGACCCAGCUUCACACCGCCUGAGAGAAGUGGAAAAAGAAAACAAGUGUUAGUUCUGCUCCUCUUGAACAAAUUCUUGUCCCCUGGGGAGCAGGUGAAGCUUCCUGGUCCUGGCUCCCAACCUGGCUCCUUAACAUCCCACACAAUACUGAGGAGGGUGACACUUCCAGCCCCCUCUCCCACAAUUGUUUUUGCUCAGCCUCAUUCUCUGAAGUGCUUCCCAGGGCUGCUUUACAGCUGUACCAGCUGAAGAAGCAUGAGGACAGCAAGAGACGGGAGGCAAGGGGAAGAAGGAACGGGCUAUGUGGACAAUUCAGACAGGAGAUGUCACUGGAACCACAAUCCCGAAACAGAUUCUGCAGCAGCAACAAGUAAUACACAGUCAGACUCAAGAUCUCUUAUUGCUCAACAAGUCACAACUCUUCAAAUUAACUGCGAUUAGACUAAACUGGGUAACAAGAGCGUUAACCACAAUGAAUAAAAACGUCAGACUGACUACCCUGAAGAAAAAGUAUAAAGCUUCCCUUACGUUCUUCCUCCUCGAGCUCCUCUAAAGAAGUGGUGGGGCGGGUUGGAACAGGACUCCUCGUCUCUGGCAUCUGAGAGCCUGCGUGUGAAGGGCUCCUGUGGUUCUCUCUCCCAUCCUCAGCUUGGUUGCACAAAAACAGGCCAACAGCAGCAGACAAAAAAAAAAAGAAACACAAGUAGUAGCUACAUUUAUAACUUGUUCCAAUGCAUGAAAUCCAUACUUCUGUGAAGCUUCUCUGGAAUGGGUAAGCCAUUUUCUUCUUGGAGGUUUGAUCAUCAGGGCCAGUUCAAGCAGAGACAUUUAGUGGCUUUGAGGAAAACAUGUGUGCUAUUAUUUGAAACAGUCGGAAGGGUACAUGUUCACAGCUUCUUUGGCAGCUACCCAGGAGUUCAAUGGCUUUAACAAGUGAGUACGUACACAUAACUAAGUAUUACUCUGCACUGACAAGAAUGACAAGUAAAACCAAGUAAAGUUAAUAUGCAUUCCCACAUUGUUAUAUCUUUGGGGUGGAGGUGCUCAGGUAUUCCCUAACUAGUCAUAUGAAAAAAAACGGAUGACUAAGAGGACUGCUGUUUAUGAGAAAAGUUCUGCCCUGAAUCACAUUGACGUUGGAGCUGAGUGUUCACCUGUAGAAAGCAGACACAUUUCAUUGUUCACAGAUUUAAUUUUUUUUUCUCCUCCCUGUUAAAUACCUCCAACAGAGCCCUUGGUAGUGCUUUUGGAAGCAGCCUGUCUGUGCUAUAUUACUCUACCCGACAGCUGUUUUUCAAAAGCACUCAUACAGACCUUCCAGUCCACAUCAGCCUGACAGGACGCUGCUGCUGCAGAUGCAAGCAGACUGUGAUCUGGGACACAGAGCUUCCACAGAGGCAUUCUGUACACCUCAGCAUGUAGUUUGCACCCACUCUGCACCCAUUUUCAAAGCAGGAUCGUGCCUUUGUGGUUUGUUUAGUAUGUCAGCUGCUUUAUCCUGAAAUAAGCAGCAUGUUCACUCACCAAACCUUAGCACACAUUUAUUGUUUUAACAUUAAAAAGUACUGUCAUCUCUGAAGUGCAACAGAACCAGAUGGGAUAUCCUCCCGAUGCCACAAGUCAGAUUUUAUUCAGUCACCCUAAAACUGCAAUUUAACUUGCAUUUCAAUUAGAUAAAAGCAAAGGCACACAAAUUACCACAGGACCAGCCAGAAUGUAAACUUGGAACACAUCAGCUGCUGUUUAGUAACUGCCCAAACAUAAGCCUUUACCCAAGAGGAAAGGUAAAGAUGUUAAUUUUCUUUGGCAGGGUAAACCAUAUUGCACUUACAGCUAGGUAAAAGCACGUCCACUCCACGGAAGCGGCCCGAAUGCAACACAACGCAGCACACAAGUUCAGCAGCUCCUCAGCAUUUUAUUUAUAAGCCUACGUUAUAAAUUUUUAUUAUUAUGUAUUUUACUAACCCCAGCUAGUAAAAAUAUAAACCUGUACUAGCCCGCUUUCAGCUUUGACUUCAGUACAUCUGAAGAUGUGUCUUGAACAACACUUCUGUUUGGUUUGUUUUUUAAAUAAAAGCAGCCUGAAUACUGGA